rnacentral:rRNA from 1 species
GACGAACGCUGGCGGCGUGCUUAACACAUGCAAGUCGAACGGAAAGGCCCUGCUUUUGUGGGGUGCACGAGUGGCGAACGGGUGAGUAACACGUGAGUAACCUGUCCUUGACUUUGGGAUAACUUCAGGAAACUGGGGCUAAUACCGGAUAGGAGCUCCUGCUGCAUGGUGGGGGUUGGAAAGUUUCGGCGGUUGGGGAUGGACUCGCGGCUUAUCAGCUUGUUGGUGGGGUAGUGGCUUACCAAGGCUUUGACGGGUAGCCGGCCUGAGAGGGUGACCGGCCACAUUGGGACUGAGAUACGGCCCAGACUCCUACGGGAGGCAGCAGUGGGGAAUAUUGCACAAUGGGCGGAAGCCUGAUGCAGCAACGCCGCGUGCGGGAUGACGGCCUUCGGGUUGUAAACCGCUUUCGCCUGUGACGAAGCGUGAGUGACGGUAAUGGGUAAAGAAGCACCGGCUAACUACGUG